rnacentral:rRNA from 1 species
GCAAGUCGAGCGCCCUGCACAUUGCUUCUUUGUCAAAAGAGGUAGUGUGCAGGGAGCGGCGGACGGCUGAGUAACACGUUGGUACCUGCCCCAAAGUGAGGGAUAACUACGAGAAAUCGUAGCUAAUACCGCAUAUGUCAGUAAUGACAAAGCUUCGGCGCUUUGGGAGGGGCCUGCGACGUAUCAUGCUUGUUGGUGAGGUAACUGCUCACCAAGGCUUUGACGCGUAGCUGGUGUGAGAGCACGACC